rnacentral:rRNA from 1 species
GAGGGCAGGUCUGGUGCCAGCAGCCGCGGUAAUUCCAGCUCCAAUAGCGUAUAUUAAAAUUGUUGCAGUUAAAAAGCUCGUAGUUGAAUUUCUGCUGCUCCGCAUUUUCCCUUUGAGGGGUUUUUGCGCUGUGGCUUAUUUCGGACUGUGUUUCGCACUGUCCGGAUGUUUACUUUGAGAAAAUUAGAGUGCUCAAAGCAGGCUUUUGCCUUGAAUAGUUUAGCAUGGAAUAAUAAAGUAGGACUUUGGUUCUAUUUUGUUGGUUUUAGGUACCAAAGUAAUGGUUAAUAGGAACAGUUGGGGGCAUUCGUAUUUAACUGUCAGAGGUGAAAUUCUUAGAUUUGUUAAAGACGAACUACUGCGAAAGCAUUUGCCAAGGAUGUUUUCAUUAAUCAAGAACGAAAGUUAGGGGAUCGAAGACGAUCAGAUACCGUCGUAGUCCUAACCAUAAACUAUGCCGACUAGAGAUUGGAGGUCGUCAGUUUUUCCGACUCCUUCAGCACCUUGAGAG